GCGUACACGGUGGAUGCCCUGGCAGUCAGAGGCGAUGAAGGGCGUACUAAUCUGCGAUAAGCGCCGGUAAGGUGAUAUGAACCGUUAUAACCGGCGAUACCCGAAUGGGGAAACCCAGUGUGAUUCGUCACACUAUCAUUAACUGAAUCCAUAGGUUAAUGAGGCGAACCGGGGGAACUGAAACAUCUAAGUACCCCGAGGAAAAGAAAUCAACCGAGAUUCCCCCAGUAGCGGCGAGCGAACGGGGAGGAGCCCAGAGCCUGAAUCAGCAUGUGUGUUAGUGGAAGCGUCUGGAAAGGCGCGCGAUACAGGGUGACAGCCCCGUACACAAAAGCGCAUGUGCUGUGAGCUCGAUGAGUAGGGCGGGACACGUGGUAUCCUGUCUGAAUAUGGGGGGACCAUCCUCCAAGGCUAAAUACUCCUGACUGACCGAUAGUGAACCAGUACCGUGAGGGAAAGGCGAAAAGAACCCCGGCGAGGGGAGUGAAAAAGAACCUGAAACCGU
rnacentral:rRNA from 1 species